rnacentral:rRNA from 1 species
AGAGUUUGAUUCUGGCUCAGAUUGAACGCUGGCGGCGUGCUUAACACAUGCAAGUCGAACGCGAAAGUGGCUUCGGCCACGAGUAGAGUGGCGCACGGGUGAGUAACGCGUGGAUAAUCUGCCUCUGCAAUCGGAAUAACGACUGGAAACGGUCGCUAAUACCGGAUACGCUUAAGUUUUACCUCUUAAGGAAAGAUGACCUCUAUUUAUAAGUUAUCGUGCAGAGAUGAGUCCGCGUCCCAUUAGCUUGUUGGCGGGGUAACGGCCCACCAAGGCGACGAUGGGUAGCCGAUUUAAGAGGAUGAUCGGCCACAUUGGAACUGAGACACGGUCCAAACUCCUACGGGAGGCAGCAGUGGGGAAUAUUGCGCAAUGGGCGAAAGCCUGACGCAGCGACGCCGCGUGAGGGAUGAAGGUCUUCGGAUCGUAAACCUCUGUCAGAAGGGAAAAAUGUACAGUGCCCCAAUCAACACUGUAUUGAUGGUACCUUCAGAGGAAGCACCGGCUAACUCCGUGCCAGCAGCCGCGGUAAUACGGAGGGUGCAAGCGUUAAUCGGAAUUACUGGGCGUAAAGCGCACGCAGGCGGUUUGUUAAGUCAGAUGUGAAAUCCCCGGGCUCAACCUGGGAACUGCAUCUGAUACUGGCAAGCUUGAGUCUCGUAGAGGGGGGUAGAAUUCCAGGUGUAGCGGUGAAAUGCGUAGAGAUCUGGAGGAAUACCGGUGGCGAAGGCGGCCCCCUGGACGAAGACUGACGCUCAGGUGCGAAAGCGUGGGGAGCAAACAGGAUUAGAUACCCUGGUAGUCCACGCCGUAAACGAUGUCGACUUGGAGGUUGUGCCCUUGAGGCGUGGCUUCCGGAGCUAACGCGUUAAGUCGACCGCCUGGGGAGUACGGCCGCAAGGUUAAAACUCAAAUGAAUUGACGGGGGCCCGCACAAGCGGUGGAGCAUGUGGUUUAAUUCGAUGCAACGCGAAGAACCUUACCUGGUCUUGACAUCCACAGAACUUUCCAGAGAUGGAUUGGUGCCUUCGGGAACUGUGAGACAGGUGCUGCAUGGCUGUCGUCAGCUCGUGUUGUGAAAUGUUGGGUUAAGUCCCGCAACGAGCGCAACCCUUAUCCUUUGUUGCCAGCGGUCCGGCCGGGAACUCAAAGGAGACUGCCAGUGAUAAACUGGAGGAAGGUGGGGAUGACGUCAAGUCAUCAUGGCCCUUACGACCAGGGCUACACACGUGCUACAAUGGCGCAUACAAAGAGAAGCGACCUCGCGAGAGCAAGCGGACCUCAUAAAGUGCGUCGUAGUCCGGAUUGGAGUCUGCAACUCGACUCCAUGAAGUCGGAAUCGCUAGUAAUCGUGGAUCAGAAUGCCACGGUGAAUACGUUCCCGGGCCUUGUACACACCGCCCGUCACACCAUGGGAGUGGGUUGCAAAAGAAGUAGGUAGCUUAACCUUCGGGAGGGCGCUUACCACUUUGUGAUUCAUGACUGGGGUGAAGUCGUAACAAGGUAACCGUAGGGGAACCUGCGGUUG